AUAACGCAUGGUGUGGAUGCCUUGACUAAAGUAAGCGAUGAAGGACGUAGGAGGCUGCGAUAAGCCCCGGGGAGCUGUCUACCAAGCUUUGAUCCGAGGAUUUCCGAAUGGGGCAACCCUCCCGCCUGAAGGCGGGAAACGAUAUCUGAAUUCAUAGGGUAUCGUAGCAAACCCUGAGAACUGAAACAUCUUAGUACCAGGAGGAAAAGAAAUUAAUAAAGAUUCCGUAAGUAGUGGCGAGCGAACGCGGAACAGCCUAAACCACCGAGUUUACUCGAGUGGGGUUGCAGGGCGUGUGGACUCGAUUGAUCGGGGUCACUGUACAAUUGUUAGCAAAGCGUUCUGGAAAGAACGACCAGAGAGGGUAAUAGUCCCGUAUGCGAAAACGACUGUACACUGAUGCACAAGUACCUAAGUAGGGCGGGGCCGGAGAAACCCCGUUUGAAUCUGGGAGCACUAACUUCCAAGGCUAAACAUUGCAUAAGAUCGAUAGCGAACUAGUACCGUGAGGGAAAGGUGAAAAGCAUCCCGAAAGGGAGGUGAAAUAGAACUGAAACUCUCUGCUAACAAAGAGUCGGAGCCCGGAGCAAUCCGGGUGACGGCGUGCUUUUUGCAGCACGAUCCAACGAGUUUGUUCUGUACGGCAAGUCUAAGGGAUGACGAGUUCCGGAGACACAGUGAAAGCGAGCCUGAAUAGGGCGACCAAAGUCGUAUGGACAAGACCCGAAGCCGGACGAGCUACACUUGAGCAGGGUGAAGCGUGGGUAAAACCACGUGGAGGCCCGAACCCACUCGCUGUGCAACACGAGGGGAUGACUUGAGUGUAGGGGAGAAAUUCCAAUCGAGUUCGGCAAUAGCUGGUUCUCUCCGAAAUAGCUUGAGGGCUAGCGUCCUGCGUAUAUCUAUCCGAGGGGUAGAGCUACUGGAUGAGAUUCCGCGCGCAAGCGUAGGCUUCUCAACCAAACUCCGAAUACUCGAGAUAGCGAGCAGGGCAGUCAGUACUACGGGGCUAAGCUCGUAGCACAAAAGGGGAACAGCCCAGAUCGUCAGCUAAGGUCCCAAAAUCUAUGCUAAGUGGGAAAGGAAGUGGAAACUCCUAGACACUGAGGAGGUUGGCUUAGAAGCAGCCACCCUUUAAAGAGUGCGUAAUAGCUCACUCAUCUAGAGUUUCUGCGCCGACAAUGUAACGGGGCUAAACAUAGUACCGAAGCUACGGAUUCUGUCGCAAGACAGAGUGGUAGGAGAGCGUCCCAUACACGCCGAAGCGAGACAGGCGACUGCUCGUGGAGAGUAUGGAAGUGAGAAUGUUGGAAUGAGUAACCGCAAUGGGGGUGAGAUCCCCCCACAUCGAAAGUCCGAGGUUUCCUGGGCCAUGUUGAUCAUCCCAGGGUUAGUCGGUCCUAAGGCGAGGCUGAGAGGCGUAGUCGAUGGACAUCAGGUUAAUAUUCCUGAACUUGGCACAUAUUCGAAGGAGUGACGCAUCGUUGUACCUUUCGCCCCUUAUUGGAUUGGGGUCGGGGACAUGAGGGUGCUAGAUAGGCAAAUCCGUCUAGCGUUAGCCCAAGUGUUCACGCGCUACUGGUAGCAAUACCGGUGAAGGAAAGGGAGCACGGUGGCAGGAAGAACUUCUAAGUUAUGUAUGUGUCAAUCCGUACCGCAAACCGACACAGGUGGACUGGGCGAGUAGCCUAAGAUGAACGGGAGAGUAUUCGUUAAGGAACUAGGCAAAAAAGCUAGACGUAAGUUCGCGA
rnacentral:rRNA from 1 species